GACGAACGCUGGCGGCGUGCUUAACACAUGCAAGUCGAACGGAAAGACCCUGCUUUUGUGGGGCGCUCGUGUGCCGAACGCGUGAGUAACACGCGUGUAACCUGCCCUUGACUUUGGGAUAACUUCUGGAAACUGCGGCUAUUACCGGAUAGGAGAUCCUGCUGCAUGGUGGUGGUUGGAAAGUUUCGGCGGUUGGGGAUGGUCUCGCAGCUUAUCAGCUUGUUGGUGGGGUAGUGGCUUACCAAGCCUUUGACGGGUAGCCGGCCUGAGAGGGUGACCGGCGACAUUGGGACUGAGAGACGGCGCAGACUCGUACGGUAGGCAGCAGUGGGGAAUAUUGCACAAUGGGCGGGAGUGUGAUGCAGCAACGCCGCGUGCGGGGUGACGGCUUUCGAGGUGUAAACCGCUGUCGCCGGUGACGAAGCGAGAGUGACGGUAAUGGGUAAAGAAGCAACGGCUAACUACGUG
rnacentral:rRNA from 1 species